CACAUACCAACAUCAACUUCCAAGGCGUCCCUCAGACCUGAGAUUCAUAAGUGCCACCAACUGCUAUUCUUUCCAUCUUCUGAAACAACACUGCAUAUUUCUUCCACAAACGAGCUGACCAAAACACAAUCUGACACCAGACCCGAGCCUUGAUCAUCCUUUGCAAAGAUAACACACAUUACUUGUGAUUCAGCAAGCUUCAGUUCCCCUUAUCCUUUGCAGAAAAUGAUUAACCAUCCAUCACAAACUACCUUUGUGACUGUAUUGAAACAAGACCACCUUAUCUUCAAGAUUUGAGCCUGAAAUCUGUUGAACUUGAUUUGAUUCAAGCUCCUUAAGC
rnacentral:lncRNA from 1 species